AUGCCUGUUGAUAAAGCUAUAUACAUUUCAUCAUAACUACCUUAAAAAAUUUAUUUAAAAGGAGUUAUGAUUUAAU
rnacentral:sRNA from 1 species